rnacentral:rRNA from 1 species
UACGUAGGGUGCAGGCGUUAAUCGGAAUUACUGGGCGUAAAGCGUGCGCAGGCGGUCUGCUAAGACAGGUGUGAAAUCCCCGGGCUUAACCUGGGAACUGCGCUUGUUACUGGCAGGCUGGAGUGUGGCAGAGGGGGGUGGAAUUCCACGUGUAGCAGUGAAAUGCGUAGAUAUCAGGAGGAACACCGAUGGCGAAGGCAGGUCUCUGGGCUGAAACUGACGCUCAUGCACGAAAGCGUGGGGAGCAAACAGG